UUUUAAUGAGCUGUAAUUAAGGAAUUUCUGUGUUAUUAGAGUUAUACAGUUUACUAAGUCUACAGUGUACUUGCUAAUAAAAAUUUAGCAUAGCAGUUUAACUUAGGUCAUGUGCAAAGUUUGUCAUUUACAGAUACUUUAUUAAUUUUUUUAAUAAGUGAUCAAUAUUAUUCGCCUUAUGCCUUAAGAAAAAUACAGUGUAUUCAAUAUAUUAAAUGUUAAUAAAUAUAACCGAUUUAAUGUAGACAUUCAAGAAAUCCCUUACAUAAAGGACCUUACAUAUGUAGGACUAUGUUAUACAGCAUUUCCUACUGUGUUGUUGUCAGUGCUGCAAUUGAGCAUCUUAACAGCUUAUGGAGGUCCCUAGGCUCUAGGGGAGAAAUGAUGCCCCAACCCCUGCCCUGCAUAAUAAAUUAUAAUAAAAGAUCCAUUAAAAUUACACUGAAAGCCACACACAAACAUGAUGCACACAAACAGCACAAUUAAAUUAUACAGUAAAUAAAAUCAACUGUGAGAUCUUAUUUAAGAAUGCUUAGUUCAUCUAGUGGUAUGUCUUUUGCAAUGAUUGUGAGAGGCCUUGUUUGAACCUCAAAUUAACAAGUUGCGGAUGUUGCAUAUGCCAGGAUCAGCCAGUUUUCAAUAACACUUUCAUACUUUUAACGGUAAUAUCAAAUGGAUAGCAGACUUCUGUAACAUCAUCUUCUUUACAGACUUAACCGCAAUUAAUGUGGAAUCAUCAGUGUUACAGGGGCACUUCAAUUGUUCUAUUCUUUUUUUUCUUUUCUGACUGUUAAAGGAGCAGUAUGAAAUGAAAAAAAUUCAAACACCUGUGUUAAACAGUUGGGGUUCAGUUUCUUAGUUAACAGCUACUGACUAUAGAAUGUCUGUCAGGAAAAUAAUGUAUUGUAACUGACAUGCUGUGCUUUCAAAUGCCACAGUGAAUGAAACAGUCAAUAACCUACAGGAAGCAGGCCUCAAUAAAGGAAUGAUGUGAGAAUUCACCAUUUCAAAGACUCAAGAUCCAGAAAAUAUAUAUAAAAAACCUAAUGUACUGUAUUGUAUAUGAAUUCAUAAUGAAAUAAAAAAUUGCUAUCCUCAAACACUAAAGUAUUCAAAAAGCCCAUUAUAUUUAAUUUAUAACAAAAAAUAUGAAAUCAACAUGGUCUUACAUUUCUGAUAUAAUUAUAUUUCUUUCUAUUCAUAUCCAAUCUGGAUUUCUAGUUGUUUUUACAAUUUAGAUUGGCUUGACAGAGGCCUAAUGUUGCUGCAGCUUUGUAGUAGAAGACCCUAAACGUAGAACCCCCGCACUCCCCAAUUUAAAAGGUUCAGUAUAUGUAAACAUGAUGGAAUUGAACAACACAUAAUUCUCUCCUCUAAAGUUCUGUUUCUUCUGCAUCAUCACAAUUGUCAAGAUAGUAUUCAUCUUCGGUUGUGGUGUCAGAAUCAGACUCCUCAAAAACAGUCAAGCUGGUUGUGUAGCUCCUUGAUGACAGGAUUCCACGAGAAGGAGACAUAUUUUCUGGAGUUGUCCACAUGGGGGAAGACACAGAAGGUGCCUGGGACAUCCGCCGAGGUGAAGAGGACAUAGUUGGUGAUGGAGGUGGGGUUGGGUCUGCAUCAUAAUGAUCAAGAUCAAGAUCAUCUGUAUAUCCAGGUCCAGACUGUUUACCAGUGAUAGAUUUGGCAUCACAGACUGGAGAAUGGCUACUAUUCAUUGGAGAGUCAACUACUGUAUAAUUCCCCUUCGGCACAAAGUCAUCCAAACUUGAGAGGUCGCUGAUGCUGCUUGUUGAGAUUCGUCCAGGACCUGAUGGGCGGCUUGAAACCACACUGCUUACCGAGAAAGAUCGUCCAUUGUGUAGACCAUACUUUAAAUCAGCACACGACGAGGACAAGUGAGACCUCACAAGGUUUUGCUGCACGGGACUCUUGGUGGAGUUCAGAGAAGAGAAGUCAUCAGACUCACACAGUGAAUUUGUUUUUUUGCACACUGGACUAUAAAACACAUUGUCAUUCUGAAUGUCUUCUGAAUCAAAAUCAAACAAAUAAAAGGGUGAUGGGGGACCGACAGAGGAUUUUCUGUAAUGUGGCAAGGUGGCAGAACGAUUCAUACUUUGGGCCUUUAGCCUAUGUGGACUAAAGCUCCUACCAUAAGAGCGGUUUCCAUUUUCAUCGCUAUGCCUCUUUUGCUGAUGAACAUUUAACAUAUUCUCAGAUGAUUUAUUUAAUAUUAAUGGUGACAAGGACUCAAAAGAAGCCAAAGAUGCUUUAUCGGUGGUAAAAUAUGAGUUGGGGGCCUCCCAUGUGCACCCAGAACCCUUUUGUUCAGUUGUAGAUCUGUUUUGCCAAUUCAUAUUUUGAGUAUUCUCAGAUUUCUUUAAUGUAAGUGGUGACAAAGAUGCAAAAGAGGCUUUAUCAGUGGUCAAGAAUGAGUUGGGGGCCUCCCGUGUACUCCCAGAAUAAUUUAUUUCAGCCAUAGACUUAUUUUGUUCAUCCACAUUUAAUGUAUUCUGAGAUUCUUUUAAUGUUAGUAGUGACAAGGAAUUUAAAGUGGUUUUAUCAGUUGUUAAAGAGUAGUUAGAAGGUUCCGGGUGGCUCUCAGAACAUGUUUUGUCCUCUGUCUUGGGACUUUCAAAAGUCUCAGUAUCUGAGAGUUGCCGAGUGGGACUCUUGUUCUUUUUCGAUAGUGCGUCAAGUGAGCUGUCUGAAUGUUUGACACCAAAUGUCAGUUUCAAGCGAUUUAACAUCUGGUCAACCCUGCUGAUGGUUUUAAACACUGUUGAAUGUCUUUUGGUUUUUAAAUACUGGGGAUUAACAACCUCUUUGUCUGGCAUAGAAGCUGAAGAGCAGACAGCUUCUUUGUCUUUCUUAACUCGUGAACUAAAGAGGCCUUUUUUUGAAUUGGAACUUUGCAUUUCCUGCAGUCUCUCAUGCCUAUGCACAGUGGGAAUCUCUCUCUCAGCUAUCAGUGGAGUCUUAUUUUCUACUGUGCGCUUAUCAGGUAUUAAAUACUUCUCGUUCUCACUCAGCCUGUGCUUGGGGUAAGCAUUACCCUUAUCAAGCUGAAGUUCCAUCAAGCCAUCAUGCUCCUGAUGACAGAAGUUGUUAGAGCCUGUGCUGGGCUGCCUUGGGUGUGGGCUUAUAUUUGAGCUUUGGCUUUCCAUGAAAAAACUUGCAUCUGGUGCAGCUUGUAAGAGGCAUGGCUGGGCAGGUUUGUGAUUAUCUAGGGCGCUUGUAUGAUCUUGAACUGCUGUCCUCUGUUUUCUGUUAGGAGAAGCUAACUGUUCCUUUGGUCUUCUUAUUAUACUUGUGUAUGUGGACAGUGAAGAGAUUGGAUCAACUUUAAUGAAGUCUGCAGGAGUGGUUACAAUAUCAUAAGAUGUAGUUCGGGUAUGAGUUUUGGACACAGGUGGAGAGGAUAGUUCUUGUAAAGUGUUGUUGAGUGUAGGUCGUGAGGAGAUGAGGCUAGAAUAUGGAGAAGUGCUGAGACGAGGUGCUGAUCUUCGUCCAAAAUCAGGAGGCAGAGAUUGAGCUGGUGCUAUAUGAGAGCUGGAGCCAUAAGAGCUUCUUUGUAAUGCUUCUACCUGUGGUACAAAGUCAAAUGAAAAUCUUGAAGGAAGUGUUUUCCGGUCACCCUGUAGUGUUCCACCUCCAUUUUGCUCAGGAGGCAAUGUUUCACCUUUCUGUAUGUGGGAAGAAGGGGUAGAAGGGAAAGGGGUGGACAUAGCUGAGCUGGACUCCCUUAGGUAUGAAUAAAUGCUUGGUACUCUUACACUUCUGAGAGGUCUGCUUGGAGAAAGAAGGCUCGAAAGAUCCAUUGUGCUUUGACUUGACUGAGAAUAUUUCUUAGAGUCCAGAUAUAUCUGCCCCACAUUUGUGGGACUUGUUCCAUCUACAGAAGAGUCUUUCCUUGGUGAGUAGUUAAGCCUGUCUGUGAAGGUGCUUGUGCCUGAUGAACUACUGGCUAUUAUAUUGUGUGUACUUUGUGAUUUAAAUUUUUGAACAUUAAAGCCAGAUUGUUGAACAUUAAAAUUUGUUAAAACUUUGGGAGAAAAUGUGGUAUCUGGAGUUACUUUUUGUCUGGUCAUACUGGAGUUUUGCAGGUUGUUGUUGUUGGCAGCAUUUAGUUCCACUAGAUCUAUGUCCUCUGUACUGGAAUAUUUCCUCGAAAACACUGAAUAAGAGCUCUGUUGAGCUCUGAGAACCCCAAGUUGGCCGGUUUUGGUUGUGGACAUUGGGAAACGUUCCUCCUCUACUCUGGCAACAGAAGCUUCUAGUCUCUUUGAAAUUGCCGUCUCUGGUUUGUUUAGAAACAGUGAUUUCCUUAAUGGCACUCUACUCUUAAUUCCAUGUGAGAAAGGGAACUGACUGACUGGUAUUUCCUCUGUUCUUGCAGGAGUGUCUUUGGGGGUUUGGUCAUCAGCGGUAACAGAAUGGGCAAAUGACGGAGUUUUCAAAACAACUCUGCUAGGCAAUGUAAGGGACCUGACAGACCUAGUCAUCGGAGUCUGUGAUUGUGUGGGCUCAGCACUGGAGCUUCUCAAAUUUGACCUCCUCAAGGAAAGAAGUAGGGUGCUUGUUGUUGGCUUAGAGCUCAAUGAUUUGAAAGGCUGAUGUUCAUCUCCAGUUUUUGAUAUUCUGUACCCUGAAUGGGCCAAAUUUGGUACCUGAUGAGUGUCCAGAGGUGUGGGAAAAGGAUGCAAAUCUGUAUUAUUGUACAUCAUGCCCACAGAGGAGGAUUUAAUAAUGGGUCUCUUUGGCUGUAUUGUGGUUGUGAUGUUUGGGGAAUUGUUCUCUUUUUGCCAGUCAGGAGAGUUACAGCUGGUUCCUGCAGUCAACUGCAUGUCAUUGUCAUUGGCCAACAUGUGUUCAGAUGGUUGCCUCUGGGAAGGAAGAAAUGGUUGUUGGUGCUGAUCCUGGCGAAAUAAGGUAGAUGGGUUGACAUUCUGUGCACAAUCUUGGGGUUCAUGCUGUACUUCGCUGCCGCCUUGCUUGGGUCUUCGAAGACGGCCACUCCAAGGUGGAGCAAGAACUGAGACCAGGGCUGAUGUCAACAUAGUUGAUGUAGGAUUGUUAAGACCAGGUUCUGGCUCAGGGGUACUUUCAGAAUGAGGAGCAGGAAAAGAGUCUAAUGGCAAGACCUGGUUUACUACUUCUGAAUGGUGUGCAAAAAACUGGGAAUCAGUGCUUGCUUUUAGACCAUUGUCCACUUCAAAGGAGGUCAGAUUACUGUGGUACUGUGGAGUUGUUGCAGCAUUCUUUCUACAGUCGCUGGCUCCAGAUUCCUUGUUGAAUUCUGUUUGAACCUUACAAACAGGUUGAGUAGAAUGUCUUUGUGAGCCGUUGUAGACAAUUUGCGUUUGUUCAUGAAGGCCUAUGUUGUGUUGUAUUCCUGUAUUUUGUCCCUGUUUUGGUGUGUUAUGUCCAUGUUGAUGCAGAGUGGUAAAACUGUCUUCAUCAAAGCUUGCUUUUGGCCCAUCCCUAUUCUUAAAGAAUUCACCAGUUGAUUCACCACAUUGCUCAG
ensembl:lncRNA